rnacentral:snRNA from 1 species
GUACUUGCUUCGGCAGCACAUAUACUAAAGUUGGAACGAUACAGAGAAGAUUACCAUGGUCCCUGCACAAGGAUGACAUGCAAAUUAGUGAAGCAUUUGUGAAGAGU